rnacentral:rRNA from 1 species
AUUGAACGCUGGCGGCGUGCUUAACACAUGCAAGUCGAUCGGUAACGCGGGGGCAACCCUGGCGACGAGAGGCGGACGGGUGAGGAACGCUUGGGAAUCUGCCUAUCAGCGGGGGACAACACGGGGAAACUCGUGCUAAUACCGCAUACGCUCUACGGAGGAAAGCCGGGGACCGCAAGGCCUGGCACUGAUAGAUGAGCCCAAGCCGGAUUAGCUAGUUGGCGGGGUAACGGCCCACCAAGGCGACGAUCCGUAGCUGGUCUGAGAGGACGAUCAGCCACACUGGGACUGAGACACGGCCCAGGCUCCUACGGGAGGCAGCAGUGGGGAAUAUUGGACAAUGGGGGAAACCCUGAUCCAGCGACGCCGCGUGGGUGAAGAAGGCCUGCGGGUUGUAAAGCCCUUUCGGUAGGGACGAAAGCUCUCGACCUAACACGUCGGGAGGUUGACUUAACCUACAGAAGAAGCACCGGCUAACUCUGUGCCAGCAGCCGCGGUAA